rnacentral:tRNA from 1 species
GGAGAGGUGCCUGAGUGGUCGAAAGGAAACGCUUGGAAAGCGUUCGUACAUGAAAAUGUACCGCAGGUUCGAAUCCUGUCCUCUCCG